UCAUACUUUUUCUCUGUGUAGAUUCUUUUGGGUCUGUCAUUGUAUUUUGGAACCAGGAUAACUCAAUUCUCAUGGGUUCACUUCUUCAGCAUUCCUUAUUAUGGCUUUAUGGCUUUGCAGCACAAUGAGUUUUUGGGAAGAAACUUCUGUCCAACACUCAAUAUAACAAACGGCAAUCACUGUCCUGGCUAUGUAAUAUGUUCUGGUGAAGAAUUCUUGUUAAUGCAGGACAUGGAUCUCUCACCUUGGGGCUUGUGGAGGAAUCAUCUGGCUUUGGAUAUUCUAAUAUUUAUCUUUCUCAUAAUUGCCUACCUAAGAAUGUUAUACCUUAAAAGAAAUUCUUAAAUUUCACUUUCAUUUACUGCAAAUUACUUUCACAUUUAAAAAGCACACUAAUUUA